UACGGGGGGGGCAAGCGUUGUUCGGAAUUACUGGGCGUAAAGGGCUCGUAGGCGGCCAACUAAGUCAUACGUGAAAUCCCUCGGCUUAACCGGGGAACUGCGUCUGAUACUGGAUGGCUUGAGAUUGGGAGAGGGAUGCGGAAUUCCAGGUGUAGCGGUGAAAUGCGUAGAUAUCUGGAGGAACACCGGUGGCGAAGGCGGCAUCCUGGACCAACACUGACACUGAUGAGCGAAAGCCAGGGGAGCAAACGGG
rnacentral:rRNA from 1 species